GGUGUGUACUGGUCUUGAUGGAAGCUUACCUCUUGGUGGGUCGGCAUGCCCUUCGUUGGGUGUGUCGAUUAACCAGGACUUUUACUUUGAGAAAAUUAGAGUGUUCAAAGCAGGCUUUCGCCCGAAUACAUUAGCAUGGAAUAAUAGAAUAGGACGCGCGUCUUUAUUUUGUUGGUUUCUAAAUUCGCCGUAAUGAUUAAUAGGGAUAGUCGGGGGCAUUCGUAUUGCUUGGUCAGAGGUGAAAUUCUUGGAUUCUAGCAAGACGAACUACUGCGAAAGCAUUUGCCAAGGAUGUUUUCAUUGAUCAAGAACGAAGGUUAGGGGAGCGAAAACGAUCAGAUACCGUUGUAGUCUUAACAGUAAACUAUGCCGACUAGGGAUCGGACAAGCACAAUCUAUGACUUGUUCGGCACCUGAAGAGAAAUCUUUAAGUCUAGGUUCGGGGGGGAGUAUGGUCGCAAGGCUGAAACUUAAAGGAAUUGACGGAAGGGCACCACCAGGUGUGGAGCCUGCGGCUUAAUUUGACUCAACACGGGGAAACUCACCAGGUCCAGACACAAUAAGGAUUGACAGAUUGAUAGCUCUUUCUUGAUCUUGUGGUUGGUGGUGCAUGGCCGUUCUUAGUUGGUGGAGUGAUUUGUCUGGUUAAUUCCGAUAACGAACGAGACCUUAACCUGCUAAAUAGACCCGGGGCCUUAGGGAACCGGCUGUCUUCUUAGAGGGACUGUAGG
rnacentral:rRNA from 1 species